AGCUUAACCAGGUCGGAGUCUGACAGUGUCUUGGACUGAAAAUCCGUGUGUCGGCAGUUCGAUUCUGCCCCUGGCCACCA
rnacentral:tRNA from 1 species